rnacentral:rRNA from 1 species
GAUGAACGCUGGCGGCGUGCCUAAUACAUGCAAGUCGAGCGAACAGAUAAGGAGCUUGCUCCUUUGACGUUAGCGGCGGACGGGUGAAUAACACGUGGAUAACCUACCUAUACGACUGGAAUAACUCCGGGAAACCGGGGCUAAUGCCGGAUAACAUUUAGCACCGCAGUGUUCUAAAGUGAGUGUUGGUUUUGCUAUCACUUCUCGAUGGACCCGCGCCGUAUUAGCUGGUUGGUAAGUUAACGGCUUAUCAAGGCAACGAUACGUAGCCGACCUGAUAGAGUGAUCGGCCACCUUGGAACUGAGACACGGUCCAGACUCCUACGAGAGGCAGCAGUAGGGAAUCUUCCGCAAUGGGCGAAAGCCUGACGGAGCAACGCCGCGUGAGUGAUGAAGGUCUUCGGAUCGUAAAACUCUGUUAUUAGGUAAGAACAAAUGUGUAAGUAACUGUGCACGUCUUGACGGUACCUAAUCAGAAAGCCACGGCUAACUACGUG